rnacentral:rRNA from 1 species
GACGAACGCUGGCGGCGUGCUUAACACAUGCAAGUCGAACGGUAAGGCCCUUCGGGGUACACGAGUGGCGAACGGGUGAGUAACACGUGAGUAACCUACCCUUGACUCUGGGAUAACAGGCGGAAACGUCUGCUAAUACCGGAUACGAACCUUGGAGGCAUCUCCCAGGUUGGAAAGCUCCGGCGGUCAUGGAUGGACUCGCGGCCUAUCAGCUUGUUGGUGAGGUAACGGCUCACCAAGGCUUCGACGGGUAGCCGGCCUGAGAGGGCGACCGGCCACAUUGGGACUGAGAUACGGCCCAAACUCCUACGGGAGGCAGCAGUGGGGAAUAUUGCACAAUGGGCGCAAGCCUGAUGCAGCAACGCCGCGUGCGGGAUGACGGCCUUCGGGUUGUAAACCGCUUUCAGCAGGGACGAAGUGAAAAUGACGGUACCUGCAGAAGAAGCACCGGCUAACUACGUG